UACGUAGGGUCCGAGCGUUGUCCGGAGUUACUGGGCGUAAAGCGCGCGCAGGCGGCGGUGUUGGCCCGGCGUGAAAGCCCCCGGCUCAACCGGGGAGGGUCGUCGGGGACCGCACCGCUUGAGGGCGGUAGGGGCUGGUGGGAUGCCUGGUGUAGUGGUGAAAUGCGUAGAGAUCAGGCGGAACACCCGUGGCGAAGGCGGCCAGCUGGGCCGUCCCUGACGCUGAGGCGCGAAGGCGUGGGGAGCGAAUGGG
rnacentral:rRNA from 1 species